rnacentral:rRNA from 1 species
GUGGAUUAGAUACCCUGGUAGUCCACGCCGUAAACGUUGGGCACUAGGUGUGGGUCGUUAUCAACGCGAUCUGUGCCGUAGCUAACGCAUUAAGUGCCCCGCCUGGGGAGUACGGCCGCAAGGCUAAAACUCAAAGGAAUUGACGGGGGCCCGCACAAGCGGCGGAGCAUGUUGCUUAAUUCGAGGCAACGCGAAGAACCUUACCUGGGUUUGACAUGUAGAGAAAAGCCAUAGAGAUAUGGUGUCCUUCGGGGUUCUACACAGGUGGUGCAUGGCCGUCGACAACU